UACGGAGGGUGCAAGCGUUAAUCGGAAUUACUGGGCGUAAAGCGUGCGUAGGCGGUUCGUUAAGUCUGUUGUGAAAGCCCCGGGCUCAACCUGGGAAUGGCAAUGGAUACUGGCGAGCUAGAGUGUGUCAGAGGAUGGUGGAAUUCCCGGUGUAGCGGUGAAAUGCGUAGAUAUCAGGAGGAACAUCGAUGGCGAAGGCAGCCCCUUGGACCUGUACUGACGCUCAUGCACGAAAGCGUGGGGAGCAAACAGG
rnacentral:rRNA from 1 species